CAAUUGAUUGUAGAGCCUUUAGAUGACUCCAAUUCCCCUAAUUGUCCAAAUGAGAUGAUGGGGCUUCCUUAGAACCUAGGAUCACAUUAGCAUAAUCAAUAGGUCAAUUUACACACUAUGAACCCUAAAAGCUAUCUCUUAGCUAGCUUCCAAUUGCCACCUUAAAUGACUAUCUAUGUUCACUAUCUUAAUCACUAAAAAGUAAUGAACAUAGUCAAUAAUAAAACAACACAUAAAUAUCAAUUACUAGCCAUUUUCUGCAGCUAAAAACUAAGCUUAAUUCAUCACUUACCCUAGAGCUCCUUUGUAGUCAAAUUCUUUUCCAAUUGCUUCCAAAUCAAUGGGGUAAUUCUCUUUUUCUCUCUCUAAAAUGUCCAACUAGUGAGAGAAAGUAUGAAAACCAGAUUUUUGAAGAGUUUUAAAGUGAGAGGAUGAAAUAGCAUAAGGAUUUAUGGAAGAGUACACCAAA
rnacentral:lncRNA from 1 species